rnacentral:rRNA from 1 species
GAUGAACGCUGGCGGCGUGCCUAAUACAUGCAAGUCGAGCGAACAGACGAGGAGCUUGCUCCUCUGACGUUAGCGGCGGACGGGUGAGUAACACGUGGAUAACCUACCUAUAAGACUGGGAUAACUUCGGGAAACCGGAGCUAAUACCGGAUAAUAUAUUGAACCGCAUGGUUCAAUAGUGAAAGACGGUUUUGCUGUCACUUAUAGAUGGAUCCGCGCCGCAUUAGCUAGUUGGUAAGGUAACGGCUUACCAAGGCGACGAUGCGUAGCCGACCUGAGAGGGUGAUCGGCCACACUGGAACUGAGACACGGACCAGACUCCUACGGGAGGCAGCAGUAGGGAAUCUUCCGCAAAGGGCGAAAGCCUGACGGAGCAACGCCGCGUGAGUGAUGAAGGUCUUCGGAUCGUAAAACUCUGUUAUUAGGGAAGAACAAAUGUGUAAGUAACUAUGCACGUCUUGACGGUACCUAAUCAGAAAGCCACGGCUAACUACGUG